UACGUAGGGGGCGAGCGUUGUCCGGAGUUACUGGGCGUAAAGCGCACGCAGGCGGUCUGCUAAGUUUGGAGUGACAGUUGGUGGCUUAACUGCCAAAGUGCUUCGAAAACUGACAGACUUGAGGGCUUCAGAGGGACACGGAAUUCCGGGUGGAAUGGUGAAAUGCGUAGAGAUCCGGAGGAACACCAAAGGCGAAGGCAGUGUCCUGGGGAGUACCUGACGCUCAGGUGCGAAAGCCAGGGGAGCGAACGGG
rnacentral:rRNA from 1 species